GUGGUGGCUCAGUGGUAGAGUGCUUGCCUUGCAUGUGUGAGGCACUGGGUUCCAUCCUCAGCACUAUA
rnacentral:tRNA from 1 species